CGUCAGAACAAUUCUAAAAAG
rnacentral:piRNA from 1 species